GGGCCUAACAGCAGUGAUCCUGACCGAGUUCUGGGAUAUAUCACAGAGCGUCUGACACAUUAUCAAUCUUUGUGCUGUCAUUGUUGGGAUGAGAGUAUUAGCAUCAGGACAGGGAUUAUUUAAUCUGGGUUAGGUAUAAAUACAGUUAGUAUAUACAAUCUGUGUUUUUAGACCACGGCAGCUCAUUCAAGCAGUAAACAAAACUUUGUGUUUGUGUCUCCAGGUCAAAAAUUUGCCAGCGAACCUCCCUAGUGGCUGGGAGAAGAACCUGACUCCUGUUGGAUUCAUAAAUGGACAGACCGUUUAUAGUCUUCCGAACUACACAGCUCCACCUGUCGCUUUUGAUGUCCCUGUAGUUAAGGCCCACGCUCCACGAAAGCGAAAGUUCUGCACAGAACUAGACGUGAGCAAGCCUUAUGUCAAGAAGCCUCCAAACGCUUUUAUGAUAUAUCGCACGGAACAAAGGCCAACAGUUGCGGCAGAGCUGCAAAGCAGGGAUUGUGCGAGUAUCAACAAAGUCAUCGGACAGAUGUGGAGGUCACUGCCCAAAGAGGAGCAGGCGAUAUACUAUGGAUAUGCAGACAGGGAGAGGGAGCUCCACGCUCAGAUCUUCCCCGAAUGGUCAGCCUGUGACAAUUACGGCAAAAAGAGGAAGAGGAUAAGGAGGAAGGAUCCUAUGAUGGAAUAUUCUGCCAUUUGAAUUCUCCAGGGAGUGAGAAUCAUCUGAAGACAUUCAGAAGUGUUACUUUUAUACCUUCUGUCUACUGAGUAG